rnacentral:rRNA from 1 species
CCUACGGGAGGCUGCAGUGGGGGAUAUUGCACAAUGGGGGGAACCCUGAUGCAGCGACGCCGCGUGGGUGAAGGAGUGCUUCGGCAUGUAAAGCUCUAUCGGCAGGGAAGAAGCAAGACGGUACCUGACUAAGAAGCCCCGGCCAACUACGUGCCAGCAGCCGAGGUCAUACGUAGGGGGCGAGCGUUAUCCGGAUGCACUGGGUGUAAAGGGAGCGUAGACGGCCAUGCAAGCCAGGGGUGAAAGCGCGGGGCCCAACCCCGGGACUGCGGUUGGAACUGCAUGGCUGGAGUGCGGGAGGGGCAGGCGGAAUUCCUGGUGUAGCGGUGAAAUGCGUAGAUAUCAGGAGGAACACCGGCGGUGAAGGCGGCCUGCUGGACUGCGACUGACGCUGAGGCUCGAAAGCGUGGGGAGCGAACAGGAUUAGAUACCCCAGUAGUC